AUUGAACGCUGGCGGCAUGCUUUACACAUGCAAGUCGAACGGUAACAGGCCUUCUGGUGCUGACGAGUGGCGCACGGGGGAGUAAUGCAUCGGAACGUACCCAGAGGCGGGGGAUAAUGCAGCGAAAGAUGUGCUAAUACUGCAUGUGAUCUGAGGAUGAAAGCGGGGUACCGAGCAGCAAUGUUUGGCCUCGCAUCUUUGGAGCGCCUGAGGUCGGAUUGGCUAGUUGGUGGGGUAAAGGCCUAGCAAGGCGGAGAUCCGUAGCUGGUCUGAGAGGACGACGAGCGACACUGAGAGUGAGAGGCGACCCUGACACCGACGUGAGGCAGAGGUGGGGAAGGUUGGACGAAGGGCGCAAUCCUGAUCCAGCAGUGCAGCGUGGAGGCAGAAGGGCUGCGUGUGGUAAACCGCUUUUGGCAGGAAAGAAACGGUGUGCGAUAAUACCGGCCGCUAAUGACGGUACCUGCAUAAUAAGCACCGGCUAACUACGUG
rnacentral:rRNA from 1 species